GUAAAGCACUCCUACGGGAGGCAGCAGUGGGGAAUAUUGCACAAUGGGCGCAAGCCUGAUGCAGCCAUGCCGCGUGUAUGAAGAAGGCCUUCGGGUUGUAAAGUACUUUCAGCAGUGAGGAAGGUGGAUAUGUUAAUAGCAUAUUCAUUUGACGUUAGCUGCAGAAGAAGCACCGGCUAACUCCGUGCCAGUAGCCGCGGUAAUACGGAGGGUGCGAGCGUUAAUCGGAAUUACUGGGCGUAAAGCGCAUGCAGGUGGUUUGUUAAGUCAGAUGUGAAAGCCCGGGGCUCAACCUCGGAAUUGCAUUUGAAACUGGCAAACUAGAGUACUGUAGAGGGGGUAGAAUUUCAGGUGUAGCGGUGAAAAUGCGUAGAGAUCUGAAGGAAUACCGGUGGCGAAGGCGGCCCCCUGGACAGAUACUGACACUCAGAUGCGAAAGCGUGGGGAGCAAACAGGAUUAGAUACCCCGGUAG
rnacentral:rRNA from 1 species